rnacentral:rRNA from 1 species
GCAGUGGGGAAUAUUGCACAAUGGGCGCAAGCCUGAUGCAGCGACGCCGCGUGAGGGAUGACGGCCUUCGGGUUGUAAACCUCUUUCAGUAGGGAAGAAGCGAAAGUGACGGUACCUGCAGAAGAAGCGCCGGCUAACUACGUGCCAGCAGCCGCGGUAAUACGUAGGGCGCAAGCGUUAUCCGGAAUUAUUGGGCGUAAAGAGCUCGUAGGCGGUUUGUCGCGUCUGCCGUGAAAGUCCGGGGCUCAACUCCGGAUCUGCGGUGGGUACGGGCAGACUAGAGUGAUGUAGGGGAGACUGGAAUUCCUGGUGUAGCGGUGAAAUGCGCAGAUAUCAGGAGGAACACCGAUGGCGAAGGCAGGUCUCUGGGCAUUAACUGACGCUGAGGAGCGAAAGCAUGGGGAGCGAACAGGAUUAGA